UGACGUAGGGUGCAAGCGUUGUCCGGAAUUAUUGGGCGUAAAGAGCUCGUAGGCGGUUUGUCGCCGUCGUGCUGUGAAAACUGGAGGCUCAACCUCCAGCCUGCAGUGGGUACGGGCAGACUAGAGUGCGGUAGGGGAGAUUGGAACUCCUGGUGUAGCGGUGGAAUGCGCAGAUAGUCAGGAAGGAACACCGAUGGCGAAGGCAGGUCUCUGGG
rnacentral:rRNA from 1 species